rnacentral:pre_miRNA from 1 species
UCUUAGGGAUGAGCAAAGAAAGUGGUUUCUUGAGAUGGAAUCUACUCUGGGUAAAGAUUAUGUGAA